rnacentral:rRNA from 1 species
GAUGAACGCUAGCGGCAGGCUUAACACAUGCAAGUCGAGGGGUAACAGGGUAGCAAUAUCGCUGACGACCGGCGCACGGGUGAGUAACGCGUAUGCAACCUACCUUUAACUGGGGCAUAGCCCGGAGAAAUUCGGAUUAAUACCCCAUAACAUCAUUGAAAGGCAUCUUUUAAUGAUUAAAGCUCCGGCGGUUAAAGAUGGGCAUGCGUGCCAUUAGCUAGUUGGUGAGGUAAAGGCUCACCAAGGCUACGAUGGUUAGGGGGUCUGAGAGGAUGAUCCCCCACACUGGUACUGAGACACGGACCAGACUCCUACGGGAGGCAGCAGUGAGGAAUAUUGGGCAAUGGGCGCAAGCCUGACCCAGCCAUGCCGCGUGAAGGAUGAAUGCCCUAUGAGUUGUAAACUUCUUUUUUGCGGGACGAAACUUUCGGUCGUGACCGGAACUGACAGUACCGUAUGAAUAAGCAUCGGCUAACUCCGUGCCAGCCGCCGCCGUAAAAC